UAGAAAACGCUAUAUCUACACGUUUUCCCUAUACUUCCUUGUACGUUUUUGAACAGGGUGUAACGUACAUUUGCUCCUUACGGUGGGUGUGCCGGAGUGUAGCUUGAAAGAAAUUAGUGACAUUUAAAGGGCAGCGGAUACAUUUUGAACCCAUAACCCCUCCCCGUUUUUCAACUGGUCGUUCAUUAUGAGACCGUUUCCGUUGUACUGAACGCAGCCUAGCUUUGAUCGUUUGACUAUCAAUGCAAUGGGUGGGGCCACAAACGCUAUCACGAAUGAGAUAUUUUGAGACCAAUGACCAUCAAGGCAUAUCCAGAUAACAUGUCACAUGGAAUUCAUUAAUGUCCUGCAAAGCAUCGCCAUGGCAUCAUCGAACUGUAACUGCAUCCAAGACGGUACAGAGAAGGAUGAGCUGUUCUCACCUGUGAGCAGCUACAGGUCCGAUGACCUCAGUAGCGGGAACCCCCGGGUCACCGGUCUGGUAGGCUCAGAGCUCAGGCAACAGCAGCAGGAGGAGGAGGCACUGCGGAGGAAGCUCAAGUACUUUUUCAUGAGUCCCUGUGACAAGUACCACGCCAAAGGCCGCAAGCCCUUUAAACUGGUCCUGCAGCUGCUCAAGAUCCUCAUUGUCACUGUACAGUUAGUCCUGUUUGGCUUGAGUAACCAGAUGGUGGUGACAUUCAAGGAAGAGAACACAGCAUCCUUCAAACACCUUUUCCUUAAAGACUACCGGGAUGGCUCUUCAAUGGCAAUCCACACACAGAGUGAACUCUAUAGCCAUAUUUAUUAUGCUGUAGAUCAGUUCCUGGCUCUACCACAGACAUCAGUGGGGCGGUAUGCAUAUGUAUGGGGUGAGGGUGUGAAUGAGAGUGCCCUCUCUCUGUGCCAGCGGUACUACAAGAGGGGCAUCAUCGACCCCAUCAACGACACCUUUGAUAUCGACCCGAAAGUUAUUAACGAUUGCAUUGGUGUGGACCCACUACCAGACCCUCCUUCUCCUGAUUACAGUGACUACAAGAACUUCACUCUCCAGUUUCACAAGCUGAUCAAUGUGACCAUUCAGUUCCAGCUGAAGGCCAUAAACAUCCAGACCAUCAUCAACAAUGAGAUCCCUGACUGCUACACCUUUGCUAUUAUGGUUGUCCUGGAUAACAAGGCUCACAGCGGCAGAGUGAAGAUCAGCCUGCUCAACCAUGCCUCCAUCAAGAAGUGCAAAGACCCCAACGUGUGGGGACAUGCGGAGAACUAUGCACGGGAGGCUUUUGACGUGCUGGUGGCCAUAGUGUGUCUGCUGUCCCUGCUGCUUUGUGGUCGCUCCAUCCUCAGAGGAGUCAUCCUACAACAUGAGUAUGUCCAGUUCUUCAGACACAGACUGAAUCACAGUGUGUGCUGGGCAGACAGGAUGGAGUUCAUUAACGGCUGGUUCAUCCUGCUCAUCAUCAGUGACCUGCUCACCAUCACCGGCAGCUUCAUCAAGAUUGGCAUAGAGUCCAAGAACAUGUCGUUGUAUGAUGUGUGUGGGAUUCUGCUCGGUACCUCCACUCUGCUGGUGUGGGUGGGAGUCCUCCGCUACCUCAGUUUCUUCCAGAAGUACAAUAUCCUGAUUGUGACGCUGCGGGCUGCCUUCCCUAAUGUAAUCCGCUUCUGCCUCUGUGUAGCUGCCAUAUACCUGGGUUAUUGCUUCUGUGGCUGGAUCGUGCUGGGUCCUUACCAUACCAAGUUCCGCUCUCUGUCCAUGGUGUCCGAGUGCCUGUUUUCUCUGAUCAACGGGGACGAUAUGUUUGUGACAUUUGCUGAGAUGCAGAAGAGUGGCACGAUGGUGUGGGUGUUCAGCCAGGUCUACCUCUACACCUUCAUCUCCCUCUUCAUCUACAUGGUGCUCUCCCUCUUCAUUGCGCUCAUCACCGGAGCCUACGAUGCCAUCAUGGUACUGUGGGAGGGAUGAAGGAUGAGGGGACUGAUAGAAGUGGAGGAUGAGGGAUGGCCCAAACCCAGGAGCCGAUGCACAUCACAGACCUGCAUGCUUUCAUAGCAGAGUGUACUGAUACACCUUGCUCUGGAAAGUUCCGUGGCCCAGAGGCAUCCUCCUGUUCAUUCUUCUGCUGCUGCGACUGAAGAGAGAAUCCUCCAGUGGGAGGAUGUCUUCUUGGUGAUCGGACCUUAGACUACACUGUCCUCUGUAGGAUGUGGCACUUCGGUGCAUUUAAAUUCAGACGGGUACAGUACAACUUACUAACUGCUGUAGAUCGCACAUUAAUAUUUAAUAUACCAGUUCAUUGGGUUUUUAUAGCUAACAAGUUCCAUUCAUAUGGCUAGCUAAUUCAUGACUAAUACAACAAUAUAGCUAGCUGUCCUUUCCGAGAGGAAACUGAUUUUGCACAACGUACUGUAUAUCUGAAUAUGUUUUACUAAUUAGGAGUUUUAUUUAUGGUGCAGUUUUGAUUUAUUGUUGAAUUGGGUCUGCAUGACCCUAUGACUGAGGGACGGCGAUGGUUUAAUUGUGCUUUACUGUGCCUGGGGGGCCCUGAACAUUAUGAUUGUCCUCUGAAUCAUGUUUAUGACAGAGACACACACUAACAGACAGGCUGAAACGUGCACACCGUUAUGUACUGUAUUUUUAGGGAAGGCUACUCACUCUUUGGUCCUUUAUUCCCUUCUCCUCCUCUGGAUGGGAUGAUGACAUGUUCAAGGACGGGACCUGCAGCCGUAGUUAGUCAUCAAUAUGUAUGAAGCCUUUGGUGUAAAGAGACAGGUGACCCUGACCUGAACACCAAUGUACUGCAAGACCGCUAUAGUGGGUUUUAUAGUGCACUUUACAGACUAUAUUGCUGAGGAAAAGACACAUUUUAAUUUGAAACAAUGCUAAAUGUUUUAACCACCCUUAUUAAUUAUUUUGUUGGAUGACUGUUGCACCUGACUGAAAUACAAGGCCAGUAAAAUAUUAUUUGAUGAGAUUUAUCUGACAUUGUUUUAUUGAAUUCCGUGUUAAUUUAUUGAAUCUCUCUCCAGGCAAAUUAAUUCUGCAAACCAGUAUGUGGUUCAAAUCAUGUUUCACUGAAGGAAAGGGACUGAAUUAUCAUAUUGUAUCUGUUUGAUUUGAAAAACCGUUUGAAGUGAUAAUGUCAUUUAAUUGUAUGAAAUGUUAUGAAAGCUUAUAGUGAUGUUCAUUAGGAGAAAAAAGGAUUCGUUGCACAAGAUUCGUAAGCGAUCAAAGGGAAGGGAAGAGUUGUCAGUAUAGGACAAAUAGAGAAAUCAUUGUGUACCCAGAAUGCACUGUUUCUGGUGAAGGUGUUUUUCCAUUACAUGUUUUCAAAAGUGAUUUAUUCAAGUAUGUGUUGAUGACUAGAAAUGUACAUUUUUUUGAAUGUUUUUACUUAGUACAUUUAUCUUGCUUGAGAUCAGGUACACAUGUACGAUGAGCCAUGAUGACAGGACUAGAAGCGGUGCUAAAUGUCUCAUGGCAUGCAGCACAGUGGCGUAGAAGAUUACUUGUAAGGAUUGUUGUUGUAGUGUAUUUCUUCACUACAUGUGUUUUAUACUCUGCUAACGUCAUAAUUUGUAUUUCUCAUUGUUUUACUCUGUUAUGGUUGGUUAGACUGAUACUAAUAAUUUUAGUAUGGCCAAAUUGCUCAACAUCUACAUUUUGGAUGAGAAUCUCGCUUGUACAUAUUAUUUUUAUUUUUAAAGCUGUUCUCGUUUUUUUGCCCUUUUUUUCAGUACAUUGCAUUUCUGUGCCACCUCUCUGGCUAAUACCAGUAAACCACCUCCAAUUAAAACUAUUGAAAGCGUA